GUUUUCCCUGUACAAGCUCUCGCCUGCCGCCAUGUAAACGUUCUUUGCUCCUGCUUCGUCUUCUGCCGUGAUUGUGAGGCCUCCCCAGCCAUGUGGAACUCUAUAGUUAAAAUACAUAGGGAAGGGCUUCAAGAUGGCUGACUAAAGGCACCUAGCACUCGCCUCCUCUGGAAAAAAGGACCAAAACACAACAGGCUAUUGGGUUUGGAGUGAAUUCUCAGAAACAUCACUACUGACAUAACUCCAUAAAGAAUUCAUAAUUUCUACUCACAUGUUUUACCCACAUCAAUAACAGAAUCUCAGGAAAACCAAAGUGGAGUUUACAAUGUUCAUUUUGACACUGUGCAUUAGACUUCUCGACUUCAAGCUACAAAAACCAGCACAGAACCUGGAAAAAUUUUACCUCCUGGCAUUUUUGUUUCUCUACCCUGAUGCUUGUUGUUGAGUUUUACCCAUGCUUUGACCAUCAGCAAAUUGAAGACUCAUCACUCACUGCAGAUGUUACUUUAAGACAUUCUGGAGCAGCGUCAUGUGCAGUCAUGUGAAAGUAUAUUCCAAACCCAGAACCUGAGCACAGAUUGGGACUGAGAAACACUUGUCUAGAUUGUCAGGCAAUCUGUAACAUCAGCAGUGGAUGGAAAGAAGGAGAAAGAUGAGUUUUAUGGACGCUAACCCAUCUAUAUGGCUUUGGAAAAUAAAGUACUGCUGUUUUUUUUUGUAAA
rnacentral:lncRNA from 1 species